UGCCAUGACGUUAUGGAGGGAACUUUCAAGGAACUGCCGGUGAUAAGCCGGAGGAAGGUGGGGAUGACGUCAACUCCUUAUGGGCCUUACGGCCUGGGCUACACACCUGCUACAAUGGGAGGUACAGAGAGCAGCCAAUGCCUGAGCAUGAACCAAUCUAUAAAACCUAUCUUAGUUCGGAUCGGACUCUGUGACUGGACUCCGUGAAGCUGGAAUCGCUAGUAAUCGGAUAUCAGCCAUGAUGCGGUGAAUACCUUCCCGGGCCUUGUACACACCGCCCGUUAAGCCAUGGAAGUUGGGAGUGCCUGAAAUCCUUCACCGCAAGGAGCGGCCUAGGGUAAAAUCGAUUACUAGGGCUAAUUCCUAACAAGGUAGCCGUAAACGA
rnacentral:rRNA from 1 species